AUGAAGGAGGAGCUUGCUCCUCCGGAUUAGUGGCGAACGGGUGAGUAAUACGUGAGCAAUGUGCCCUUGACUCUGGGAUAAGCGCUGGAAACGGCGUCUAAUACCGGAUACGACCCUCGGAGGCAUCUCCUGUGGGUGGAAAGAACUUCGGUCAAGGAUCAGCUCACGGCCUAUCAGCUAGUUGGUGAGGUAACGGCUCACCAAGGCGACGACGGGUAGCCGGCCUGAGAGGGUGACCGGCCACACUGGGACUGAGACACGGCCCAGACUCCUACGGGAGGCAGCAGUGGGGAAUAUUGCACAAUGGGCGCAAGCCUGAUGCAGCAACGCCGCGUGAGGGACGACGGCCUUCGGGUUGUAAACCUCUUUUAGCAGGGAAGAAGCGAAAGUGACGGUACCUGCAGAAAAAGCACCGGCUAACUACGUGCCAGCAGCCGCGGUAAUACGUAGGGUGCAAGCGUUGUCCGGAAUUAUUGGGCGUAAAGAGCUCGUAGGCGGUUUGUCGCGUCUGCUGUGAAAACCCGAGGCUCAACCUCGGGCUUGCAGUGGGUACGGGCAGACUAGAGUGCGGUAGGGGAGAUUGGAAUUCCUGGUGUAGCGGUGGAAUGCGCAGAUAUCAGGAGGAACACCGAUGGCGAAGGCAGAUCUCUGGGCCGUAACUGACGCUGAGGAGCGAAAGCAUGGGGAGCAAACAGGCUUAGAUACCCUGGUAGUCCAUGCCGUAAACGUUGGGAACUAGAUGUGGGGACCAUUCCACGGUCUCCGUGUCGUAGC
rnacentral:rRNA from 1 species